rnacentral:lncRNA from 1 species
UUCUACCUCACACCAAUCAGAAUGGCUAAGAUCAAAAUCACAGGUGAUUGCUGAUGCUGGCGAGUAUGUGGAGAAAGAGGAACACUCUUCAAUUGCUGGUGGGACUACAGCUGGUAAAAUCACUUUGGAAAUCAAUCUGAUGGUUCCUCAGAAAAUUGGAAAUACUUCUACCUGAAGACCCAGUUAUACCACUACUGGGCAUAUACUCACAACAUACUCCAACAUAUAACAAGGACAAACACACACCACUAUGUUUAUAGCAGUUUUAUUUAUAAUAACCAGAAGCAGGAAACCACCCAGAUGUCUGUCAACAGAAAAAUGGAAUGUUACAUUUACACAAUGGAGUACUACACUGCUAUUAAAAAUAAGAACUUCAUGAAAUUGCAGGCAAUGGAUAGAACUUGAAAAUAUCAUCCUGAGUGAGGUAACUCAGACACAAAAGACCACAUAUGGCAUGUACUCACUGAUAAGUGGAUAUUAGCUCCAAAGCUCAGAAAACCCACAAUUCAUCCCACUAACCAUAUGGAGCUCAAGAAGAAGGAAGAUCAAAGUGUGGACUCUUCAAUCCUACAUAGAAGGGCGAACAAAAUUAUCACAGGAGGUUGAGGGAGGAAGGAACCUGGGAAGGAAAGUGGAGAAGGGGGGGACACAGAAAAAUAUUGGAAGGGACAGGAAAGCAUAUCUUAUAAAUGGAAAAUUAUUCAGAAAAACUAGGAAAAUAUUGAAGGUAAGUCUUCUUUGAAGUGAUUUAAUAAAGACAAAAUAAAGUAUCAUACAUAUCUAUAUUUUUCUAUGUCCCUUUGUAUUUUCAUCUACCACAGAAGAGCCCCGUGUCAUUUUUAACUGUAUUCACUCCUGCAGUUAUAUUUAUAAUUUUAACGAUUUCUGUAUCUUUCAUACCAAAGAAUAGAUAUUCCACAAGAAUAUCAGAGUACUCAUUCUCAAAACAACUUGAACUGUAGAUAUUUAAAACUUGUUCAACCCUUUAGCAAUUUCUACUCUGCCUAAUGGAAGAUUUAAAUUUUCCUACCUGAAAAAAAAGAUGGAAAGACCUAGAAAUUUUCAAAGAUAAAAUAGUACAGUGAUCUGACCAUCUACCAGCCACAAUUUUUCCAGUGAUCUUUAGGGGCCUUGCUUAAUGUUGAGUGGGAUCAGGAAGAUAUAAUUUGUCUUGGUCUUUUCAAGAAGCCUUUAAAACGUAUUGUAUGCUUUGUGGCUUAAUCUGACCCUGACUUUCUCCCAAAGACCACAUUUCCAAACACUACUGUAAUGGGAGACAUAGGAAUUUGAAUGGAGAAUACCACUCAGUGCAUUAGCAUGGCAUCUUGCUAGUUUGUUACUAACGUUAGUCUUAGCUUUGGACAGCAAGGCAUCUGUGACAUGAUGAAGUUAAUUUGCUGCUGGCUCUUUUCCCAUCUUGAUGAUACCAUGAUACUGAACAGUUUUCAUUUUUCAAAGGCAGUUUUAGGAUCCCAAAUUUGGGCAUAGUAUAUAAAUAGCUACUUUAUAGCUUCUCACCCAUAUAUCAUAACAAUGUUUCUUUGUUAGCAUUUCGUGUAAGAGUGGUACAGUCACUGUAACUAACAUACCUGCAUUUAUGUAAGGUUAGAGUUUAUGUUAUCUUAGAGUUUAUAUUAGGGUUAACUCUUGAGGUGCAUUUUGCCAGAUUUGACAAAUAUAUCAUGUGUCUGUCACCCUAGUACCCUAAAAUUAUCUUUGCUCUGUUUGAUCAUCCCUCUCCCAUGCAUCCUUGGCAAAUACUAAUGUCUUUACUUUUCAUACUGUUUUGCCUUUUUCAGAAUGUCAUGUAGCUAAUUUCAUAGUGCAUAGGUUUUCAGACUGUCUUUUGCCACUUAGUUUUAAACAAAAGUUAAGUUUUCUGUCAUCAGUAGCUCAUUGCUUUUGUGACCUGAAUACAGUGCCAUCUUUAGCUGUCUAGAGUCCUAUAUUGACCUUAUGAGUCUUGAUACCUUGAUUUGUUUGUAGGUGUUCCCCUAAUGUAUUUGAAUCUCUGCCUGUGCUGCUCAGUUUCUGGAAUCCACACUCCCUGCUUUACUUCUUUGGCUGCUCUUAGACACAUGGUUACCCGUACAACUUGGCAUCUCAUCAACAACUAUGCUUUUGUAAGUUCCCCAUUUAUAUUUAACCCCACAUAUUCUUUUGGCCUUUCUUUUUGUGAUACUCCAUCCAUCCUUGAGCUGGUAUAGAGACUGCCAAGCAGAUGGCAGCUAUAAGUCCUAGAGAAAUUCUCUGCUCUUUGUAAAACUGAAGCCUAUUGCAAUUAGUAAACUAGAAUCUUAGUCCCAACAAGAUAAUUCUGUAGUUGGUAAUGGAUAUAUUAUACAAAAAUGGGAGCUAGAAGAUAGUUCAGCAGUUAAGAAGACUUCCUGCUUAGUGCUUAGAGGACUUUAGUUCACUUUUCUUGGAGGAAUAGAGUUCAGUUCUCAGAACUCAAAUUGGGCAGCUUCCUCUUGCUUUGACCAGAGCUUCAAGCGAUCUAAUGUCCCCUUCUAGCUUCUGAAUACGUACAAACAGACAUUCACGUAAAAAUAAAAAUUAAAUGUUUUUGAAAGUCAUACAGACAGACACAUAAUCAGAACAAAUAUGUAAAAAUAGAAAAAUAGUAACACAGUCUUAAUUUUCUGGUCUUAGUUAUAGGGUUAUUUAAAACGUAUCUACUAGCUUUUGUUCAUUUUUGAGCAAAUAAUUCACACACACAGAGUAUCACUCUCCCUUAUGUCUUUUCCUAUUCUCUCCCACCUCGGGUUAAAUAAGUGAAGAAUCCUGCUAGUAGCUUCCUGAGUACUCAAAGUCCAGCAAGUGAGGGAGAACAAGACAGCCAAGGUUUUCCUGGCAUUAUGAAUAUCUUACUUAUAUUGCUUAUUCAGCUCUUUUGUCUUAUCUGUGACUGAGUUUUUUCCUCUCAGGAAAAUAAGAUGGUAUUAUGCC